ACUCAACACAAAUCAAUUAAAAUGAGUGAAACUUUGUUGUAAAAGCACGCCAUUUCGUAUGGAUCCUUGAGCAGCAAGAUAACUCAAAACCUGUUUUUACAGAGUUU
rnacentral:sRNA from 1 species